rnacentral:lncRNA from 1 species
UGUAUGCCUGAAGCAUGGAUUCCUCACAAGAAAGACUGAGGGCAGGCAGGUCAUCAGAUAGGUGCUUGGACAGAGCAGCCCCAGGCCUGGGCGCCAGACAUUAGUGGCUGGGAGAGCUUGUUUCCUCAGAGCAUAGCCUAGAGCAGGAGCACACAGGAAGAUGGCACAUGGGCACAGAAUUGUCCCAAAAUGCAGCUUGAAGUGGAGAAUGGGGCUGUAUGGAGAGAAGCCCCUUCUGCCUGGGGACUGUAGGAGUUCUUUGCUGGGGAAAACAUUUUGAGUUCUGUUGUAGAGGAUGAGAAAACUUUCUAGAUGUAAAUGUAAAAGUUAAGUAUGUUCUUGGCAUGAGUCAAUUGAAGAAAAAGGGACACCUGAUACAGAGUGAGAAUUUCAAGGUGACAGAAACACAAGUGUCAUUUGAGGCUGGGAUGGGAUGGGGAGAGAUGAGGUUUACAGGGGCGUUUGGGGCAAGACUGUAAGGGAUGAAAUGACUGGCCAUGGUAUUUGAAAUGGCUUCUGUGGAACAUGGUGUAUGUGUGUGCGUGUGUGUAUGUGCACGUGCACGUGUGUGGUUGUAUCCAUGCUUAUGCACUAACUGAGAUGACGAGAGAUGGAGAAGCAGCCCCUGAAAUAUAAGAAUUUCAACUUUGGGUGUCUUCUGUUUGAAAUGCUGUGAGACCCCUAUAUAGAGAUGACCAGAAUGCAGAUGGAGUUACAAGUGUAAGGAAAUCUCUGACAAAAUACAGACACAGGGCCUUCAAGACUGACACAGGCAAAGCCAUACCCCUGAGGAGAGGGCAGCAGGGUCUGGGGCUGCCUCGCUGACCUCUGAGACUCCUCUUCCCCUCAGAGAGGCAUAGUCACGACUUCUCACCCUAACCUGGUCAUGCCCAUGGUGACGAUGCCCAUUUUCCAUAUCACUCUAUAGUAUAGCUAAACAGAGUUUGGGCCAUUUAAACAGGCAUAACUCAAGGCGAAUUAAGGACUUGUCAGAGACUAUUCCUCAGAGAUUUCCAUUAAAAAUAAUCACUGCGGCUAAUUAGCUUCACAAACACCGCAUAAUAUUGUCAUUGGUUAUCAAACACGCGUUGAUGUUUUACAUUUUAACAUUUAUGAAGAGUGUGCACAUCUUCCAAGCAUUGAUGGCCAGGAGCACUCAAGAU